rnacentral:rRNA from 1 species
CAGUAGCCACGGGAAUACGAAGGGGGCUAGCGUUGUUCGGAAUUACUGGGCGUAAAGCGCACGUAGGCGGAUCGAUCAGUCAGGGGUGAAAUCCCGCAGCUCAACUGCGGAACUGCCUUUGAUACUGGGUAUCUUGAGUAUGGAAGAGGUUAGUGGAAUUGCGAGUGUAGAGGUGAAAUUCGUAGAUAUUCGCAGGAACACCAGUGGCGAAGGCGGCUAACUGGUCCACAACUGACGCUGAGGUGCGAAAGCGUGGGGAGCAAACAGGAUUAGAUACCCCGGUAGUCCCUGUCUCUUAUAA